GCUCCCCCUACUCCAGACAUGCUGAAUCAGAAAUUUUGAGGUUGAGGUCCAGGAAUGUGUUUUAACAAGUCCUCCAGGAUGCACUCUCAUGUUUGAAACACCACAUACCUAGAUGACGAGUUUAACGAUGAGCCAAGACUCUUCAUAUUCCACAAUUCACCAUCAGAAAGACGGCACGCUCCUCUGAUUCACAGAUGGAGUGGUUGUCUGUUCAAGGCACUACAACUCAGGGGGCUAGAGAGAUGGAAUGGGGAGACAUGGGCCCUGUUGUCAAGUCCUUUUAGAUAUUCCUGGAACGGUCAUCCUGUAGGAGACUCGUUUCAUCGGUACACAGUAAGUAUGUUCUGGUAGCAUGGGAAUUCCAUGUCAUAAGA
rnacentral:lncRNA from 1 species